rnacentral:rRNA from 1 species
AACGCGAAGAACCUUACCAGGCCUUGACAUCCAAUGAACUUUCCAGAGAUGGAUUGGUGCCUUCGGGAACAUUGAGACAGGUGCUGCAUGGCUGUCGUCAGCUCGUGUCGUGAGAUGUUGGGUUAAGUCCCGUAACGAGCGCAACCCUUGUCCUUAGUUACCAGCACGUAAUGGUGGGCACUCUAAGGAGACUGCCGGUGACAAACCGGAGGAAGGUGGGGAUGACGUCAAGCCAUCAUGGCCCUUACGGCCUGGGCUACACACGUGCUACAAUGGUCGGUACAGAGGGUUGCCAAGCCGCGAGGUGGAGCUAAUCCCACAAAACCGAUCGUAGUCCGGAUCGCAGUCUGCAACUCGACUGCGUGAAGUCGGAAUCGCUAGUAAUCGCGAAUCAGAAUGUCGCGGUGAAUACGUUCCCGGGCCUUGUACACACCG